rnacentral:rRNA from 1 species
UACGUAGGGUGCAAGCGUUGUCCGGAAUUAUUGGGCGUAAAGAGCUCGUAGGCGGUCUGUCGCGUCUGCUGUGAAACUCAGGGCUUAACCCUGAGCUUGCAGUGGGUACGGGCAGACUAGAGUGCGGUAGGGGAGACUGGAAUUCCUGGUGUAGCGGUGAAAUGCGCAGAUAUCAGGAAGAACACCCGUGGCGAAGGCGGCUCUCUGGGACGGUACUGACGCUGAGACGCGAAAGCGUGGGGAGCGAACAGG